rnacentral:rRNA from 1 species
AGGACGAACGCUGGCGGCGUGCUUAACACAUGCAAGUCGAGCGGAAAGGCCCGUUCGGGGUACUCGAGCGGCGAACGGGUGAGUAACACGUGAGUAACCUGCCCCUAGCUCUGGGAUAGCUCCGGGAAACCGGGAUUAAUACCAGAUACGACCACUUUAGACAUCUGUCGUGGUGGAAAGGAUUCCGGCUAGGGAUGGGGCUCGCGGCCUAUCAGCUUGUUGGUGGGGUAACGGCCUACCAAGGCGACGACGGGUA